rnacentral:lncRNA from 1 species
ACAAUUUAAAAAUUUAUUGACAUUUUUUUGUCACUUUCCUUUGCAACUAUCUCCAAUUUCUCCUUUCUCUCCAGAGAGCUUUUCCCUUUGACAAAGAACAAAAAUCAAGAAAAAAGCAAGUCAAUACUUCAGCUGAGUCUGACUGUACAUGUAAUAUUUUAUACCUAUAUUAUUUCCAACACUGUAAAUUAAGAGGAGGUUAUAUAUUUUCUUCUCUCUUUUCAGACAAGGUUUGAUCACUAAUUGCAAAGGCCUGAGCCAAGAUGAUGGCCUAACAGUAUGCAAUGCUGCUGAGCUCCUGAACAUAAGACUCCUUCAGAUACACUUAGAAAAUGUAUCAGACAAUUACCUGAAGGUGAAAUCCAGAAAAAGUCAUGGCCCCAGAAACCUCCCCAUCCGGAAGCUCACUCAGUUCCUGGACUCUACACUUGGAAGUACCCUCUGCUCCUGCAGCCUCUCCUUCUGUUUGGCUGGUCCCUGCUGGAACCUCCAUUUAAGUAGGGUGCCCUGUCAGCCUCAUUUGUCUGGGCUGAUUGCCUAACCACCUUUCUCUACAAUGCCCCAGGAACUGGGAACCUUCAUCUCGGCUGCCUCUUCUUCCUCAGCUCUACCUUGCCAGCUUCCUUUUAGAAUGCUUGCAUCCUGAGGCAGAGGCAGGGGCUACUUUUCUUUCUAAUCAUAUUUGUAUGCCAGCAUAUUGUCUGGCACUUAGUAAGUAAAUGCUUUCUGAAUUCGCU